ACAUGGCGGCGCCCGGUCACUGAGGAAAACUAUUGUUUUGACUUUUUUUUUUUACUUUUUUCUAACACAAACUCCAGCCCCAUACGUCGAUCACUAACCGGAAUACUUUCACCACUAAUGGAGCAGUUAGCAGACCUAGAGGAAUAUAUCGAUCACUCCUACAACAGCUGCAACAUGGACAACAACCCGCAGGACUCAUCUACGGUGCAGUGCGUUUGGCCCUUGUCGGCCACCGUACUCACCCGACCCAAACACACGGAGAAAACCCUUCAUCACAGACACAGAUGAUCUGAAACCACGACAGAAGUCCAGGUCUGAGCUGGGCCUUGUCUGCCGGGCUGCUGGGGGGAAUCCUCAUUACACUCGGGUCACAGUUCACGGGGCUACUGCCUGCAGAGUCUUCCACCUAAAAAGCAGACACACCGGGGCUCCAUGGGUCUCAGAGGCGUCACCUGCAGGAACAUGGAUGGACCAUCAGAACGCUCACGCAACCCCAAAUACAACAUGUGGAACCACAUUAACUGUCCAAGCCGUGACGCAUUAUUUCAUUUAUAAGAUUAAGGAUUUAUUUCCUGUACAAUUCAUUUUCAUAGAUAUUGUUCUACAUGAUAAAUACAAUACACAGAACAUGAGCUCAGUUUUAUUGGUACGUAUUCCUGUGUAAUGCAGAAUGAAUGAUGUUUGUGAAUGAGUUAGCAUGUGGCUAACUUAGCCGUGCUGUGGCUCAGCAAUAUUAAAUCAUAAUCAGGUAUUAAGAUGAGACGUUUGGGGGAUAUGCAAUCCUGUUAUAUACUCUCACCUUUUCAUCAAAUCUGUACUUGCAAAUAUAAUUUAAUGCAUAUCAGUUGAAUAAUAAAAGCUGGUUUGAUGAAGAAAUAUCAUGAUAAUUGUUAAGUUAGGUGGGUUUUCUUUUUUCCUUUCUCUCUUUUUAACACCAUUGUCAUAUUUUUCUUUGAAUCAAAAAAGAAUACGACUAUCUGUGUUUGACAACAGCUAAUUUGUGUUAUUUUAUAACUUUGUUGUAGUUUUUUUUUAAUUGUGUAAUUUGUUUUUGUUUUUUAUUAUUAGGUCCCGAGCACUUACAGUGCGAAGGCCCUAUUGUAUCUGGGCUAGGCUGGUAAGAAAGUAAUUACCUUUUUCAAAGCUUUGAUUUGUAAAAGGCCUCACCCUACCAGCCCUCUCACCUGAUCCACCUAGCCCUCCUCAUCCUUUUGUCAUUAGUGGGAAGUAAUUGUAGCACUACCUCACAAACUUAUCGAAGGCAAAGGCUGUGUUGCUAUGUAAUGAUUGUAAGUAAGUAAAUACAAUUGUAUUUAUAUAGCAACUUUCAAGAUAAAAUCACAAAGUGCUUCACAAUAAAACACAGGACAAGCAUUGUUGCUGAUUGCUUUAAAUCAAAUGCAGACACUGAUUGAUGGCAGCUUUUAGUGCUGUUUUGGUUGGAUUUAAGGCGUGGAAUUAAAGAAUAUUCAUUGUCCAUCCUCUAAAAAUACCUUGAAUAGUUUUACAAGUACUGCAGACACAUUGCAUUAACAUUUUAUUUCAAUUAUUUUGUAUAAACUUCAUAAAACAGGAGAGUUCUGGUUCUUCCAGUGUUCUUCUAUGGAGUUGAAAGUUGGCAAGGAUGUGGAUGUAAGAGGAAACUAUUGUCAUUUUGUUGCUUGUAAUGUAAUGUUAACUAAAUAUAAAUGUAAUUGUUAAUAUAGGUUUAAAAAACAUGGAUGUUUAACAGAAUUUAUACAACCACUGCAUAUACAUUUUCACUGAAAGAUCACAAAUGCAUGACUUGAUGGUUAUACAUGCUGAUGAAAUACAGUAUACAUAGCAUUUAAAUGCAACAAUAACAACAUAUGCUUCCAUCCACAUUUAACAUCAAGCUGUUGCUUUUAUAAAUAACACAUUUAUACAUAUUAACAUUUUUGACUCUGUUAACAGUACGUGAAGGGCAGCAUGUGUGUUU